GGUCGGUGAUGAGCUGUAAAAGGUCUGAUUUCCCAUCAUCCUCUCCCUCUGCCAUGUGACUCCCAGCAGCUCCUGUCUGAACCAUCGUGUUCAAGAGCUACAUUGAUGGAAUCAGCAGCUGCUGAAAGACAGGAUGUGACAUCACAGUGUGUAGCGAGGAUUCUACACACUGUGAUGAGCGACAUCCAACAGAGGCAGACUCGUAUGGAGUGGCUGAGGGGGGGGGCAGGGAGCUGAUCUCAAGUUUUCAAGCUGAGACC
rnacentral:snoRNA from 1 species